rnacentral:rRNA from 1 species
AAAUCUGGCGCAAGCCCGAGUUGUAAUUUGCAGAGGAUGUUUCGGGUGAAGCCACGGUCCAAGUCCCUUGGAACAGGACGUCAUAGAGGGUGAGAACCCCGUACCUGGCCGUCGGUGCCCCCCGCUGUGAAACUCCUUCGACGAGUCGAGUUGUUUGGGAAUGCAGCUCUAAAUUGGUGGUAAAUUCCAUCUAAAGCUAAAUACCGGCCAGAGACCGAUAGCGCACAAGUAGAGUGAUCGAAAGAUGAAAAGCACUUUGAAAAGAGAGUUAAAAAGUACGUGAAAUUGUUGAAAGGGAAGCGCUUGCGGCCAGACUUGCCCGCGGUUGCUCAGCCCGCCUUUUGGCGGGUGCACUCUUCCGCGGUCAGGCCAGCAUCGGUUUGGGCGGCCGGACAAAGGCGCCGGGAACGUGGCCUCCCCUCGGGGAGGCGUUAUAGCCCGGCGCGCAAUGCGGCCAGCCCGGACCGAGGUUCGCGCUCUGCUAGGAUGCUGGCGUAAUGGCCGUAAGCGGCCCGUCUUGAAACACGGACCAAGGAGUCUAACAUCUAUGCGAGUGUUUGGGUGUCAAACCCGUGCGCGUAAUGAAAGUGAACGGAGGUGGGAACCGCAAGGUGCACCAUCGACCGAUCCUGAUGUCUUCGGAAGGAUUUGAGUAAGAGCAUAGCUGUUGGGACCCGAAAGAUGGUGAACUAUGCGUGAAUAGGGUGAAGCCAGAGGAAACUCUGGUGGAGGCUCGCAGCGGUUCUGACGUGCAAAUCGAUCGUCAA